rnacentral:rRNA from 1 species
GACAGAGGGUGCAAACGUUGUUCGGAAUUACUGGGCGUAAAGCGAGUGUAGGCGGUUUGGAAAGUCGGAUGUGAAAGCCCCGGGCUCAACCCGGGAAGUGCACUCGAUACUCCCAAGCUAGAGUAUCGGAGAGGUUGGCGGAAUUCUCGGUGUAGAGGUGAAAUUCGUAGAUAUCGAGAGGAACACCAGUGGCGAAGGCGGCUCUCUGGACAGGUACUGACGCUGAGACGCGAAAGCGUGGGUAGCAAACAGG